UACGGAAGGCAGCAGGUGGGGAAUAUUGCACAAUGGGCGAAAGCCUGAUGCAGCUAUGCCGCGUGUAUGAAGAAGGCCUUAGGGUUGUAAAGUACUUUCAUCGGGGAGGAAAAACAAAACUAAUAAUUUUAUUUCUUGACGUUACCCGAAAAAGAAGCACCGGCUAACUCCGUGCCAGCAGCCGCGGUAAUACGGAGGGUGCUAGCGUUAAUCAGAAUUACUGGGCGUAAAGAGCACGUAGGUGGUUUUUUUAAGUCAGAUGUGAAAUCCCUGGGCUUAACCUAGGAACUGCAUUUUGAAACUGAAAUACUAGAGUAUCGUAGAGGGAGGUAGAAUUCUAGGUGUAGCGGUGAAAUGCGUAGAUAUCUGGAGGAAUACCUGUGGCGAAAGCGGCCUCCUAAACGAAUACUGACACUGAGGUGCGAAAGCGUGGGGAGCAAACAGGGAUUAGAUACC
rnacentral:rRNA from 1 species